CAUCCUAUGUUGCUUUAUUGGAAAGUUUAAGCCAUUAACAUUUAGAGUUACUAUUGAUAUAUGGUUUGUACUUCCAGCCAUGUUUGAUUAUUUAUCUUUUUUUUAAUUUAGUUUGUUUCUCCAUGAUUAGCUUUCCCCCCGCCCUUUGUCUUUACUGAGGCACUUCCCACUGAUGGUUUUGGUUAUUGUUUUUCAUUUCUUCCUAAUUUAGUGUUUUGCUCAAGAUGCUUUGCAAUGCUGGUUUUCUGGCUGUAAUUUUUUUAAACUUUUGUUUAUCAUGAAAGAUUUUUAUUUCGUUGUCAUACCUGAAGCUUAAUUUUGCUGGAUACAGAAUUCUUGGUUGGCAUCCAUUAUCUUUCAGUGUUUGAAAUACGUUGUUCCAGGAUCUUCUCGCUUUUAGCGUCUGUGAUGAAAAAUACGUUGUUAACCUUAUUGGUUUACCCCUGAAUGUAAUCUACCUCCUUUAUCUUGUAGCUUUUAAUAUUUUUUUCUUUGUUCUAUAUAUUGGAUAUCUUCGUAACAAUGUGUCUUGGCGUUGGCCUACUGUGAUUUUGUAUGCUCAGUGUACUGUAUGCAUCUACAAUUUGUAUAUCUGUUUCCUUUUUGAUUUCUGGAAAGAUUUCUGUAAUUAUUUCAUUCAGCAGGUUACUCAUUCCCUUGGUUUUAAUCUCUAUACCUUCCUCUAUC
rnacentral:lncRNA from 1 species